rnacentral:rRNA from 1 species
GCGGUGGAUGAUGUGGUUAAUUCGAUGCAACGCGAAAACCUUACCACCUUUGACAUGGCAGGAAGGCUUCAGAGAUGAGGCUGUGCUCGAAAGAGAACCUGCACACAGGUGCUGCAUGGCUGUCGUCAGCUCGUGUCGUGAGAUGUUGGGUUAAGUCCCGCAACGAGCGCAACCCUUGCCAUUAGUUGCUACGAAAGGGCACUCUAAUGGGACUGCCGGUGACAAACCGGAGGAAGGUGGGGAUGACGUCAAGUCCUCAUGGCCCUUAUAGGUGGGGCUACACACGUCAUACAAUGGCCGGUACAAAGGGCUGCAAACCCGCGAGGGGGAGCCAAUCCAUCAAAGCCGGUCGUAGUCCGGAUCGCAGUCUGCAACUCGACUGCGUGAAGUCGGAAUCGCUAGUAAUCGUGGAUCAGCAUGUCACGGUGAAUACGUUCCCGGGUCUU